UGGUAGGUGCCUCUAGGGCCUGGG
rnacentral:piRNA from 1 species